rnacentral:rRNA from 1 species
AACGAACGCUGGCGGCAGGCUUAACACAUGCAAGUCGAACGCAUGCCUUCGGGCAUGAGUGGCAGACGGGUGAGUAACGCGUGGGAACCUACCCCUUGGUACGGGAUAGCUCCGGGAAACUGGAGAUAAUACCGUAUGUGUCCUGAGGGACAAAGAUUCAUCGCCAAGGGAUGGGCCCGCGUCGGAUUAGCUAGUUGGUGGGGUAACGGCCUACCAAGGCGACGAUCCGUAGCUGGUCUAAGAGGAUGAUCAGCCACAUUGGGACUGAGACACGGCCCAAACUCCUACGGGAGGCAGCAGUGGGGAAUAUUGGACAACGGGCGCAAGCCUGAUCCAGCCAUGCCGCGUGAGUGAUGAAGGCCCUAGGGUUGUAAAGCUCUUUCACCGGUGACGAUAAUGACGGUAACCGGAGAAGAAGCCCCGGCUAACUUCGUG